UACAGAGGUCCCAAGCGUUGUUCGGAUUCACUGGGCGUAAAGGGUGCGUAGGCGGUCGGGUAAGUCUGAUGUGAAAUCUCCAAGCUCAACUUGGAAAUGGCAUCGGAUACUAUUCGGCUCGAGGAAUGGAGGGGAGACUGGAAUACUUGGUGUAGCGGUGAAAUGCGUAGAUAUCUGGAGGAACACCGGUGGCGAAGGCGGCAUCCUGGACCGAGAUUGACGCUGAGGCGCGAAAGCUAGGGGAGCAAACGGG
rnacentral:rRNA from 1 species